CCUACGGGUGGCAGCAGUGGGGAAUAUUGCACAAUGGGCGAAACCCUGAUGCAGCGACGCCGCGUGCGUGAAGAAGUAUCUCGGUAUGUAAAGCUCUAUCAGCAGGGAAGAAAAUGACGUUACCUGAUUAAGAAUCCCCGGCUCAGUACGUGACAGCAGCCGAGGUAAUACGUAGGGGGCAAGCGUUAUCCGGAGUUACUGGGUGUAAAGGGAGCGUAGGCGGCAGGACAAGUCUGAAGUGAAAUGCCGGGGCUUAACCCCGGAACUGCUUUGGAAACUGUGCAGCUAGAGUGCAGGGGAGGUAGGUGGAAUUCCUAGUGUAGCGGUGAAAUGCGUAGAUAUUAGGAAGAACACCGGUGGCGAAGGCAGCUUACUGGACUGUAACUGACGUUGAGGCUCGAAAGCGUGGGGAGCAAACAGGAUUAGAUACCCUUGUAGUC
rnacentral:rRNA from 1 species